ACAGCCAGGUUUACAGGCACAGGAGAUAGAUGAGAUGAACAAUGCAGUAGAAUAUCACGCUUGGAGGCUAAGGAGCUCUGGGAAGUGAGGAGACAGCCAGCCCCAGAUGACCCAAGGGCUUGGAGACUGGGGCUGACAAAAGCCAACCACCCGGGACUGCCUAUGUGGAGUGAGAGAAGUGGGUUGGAGGUGGAUGGAGAUGAAAAUGUCCUUCGAGGUACCUGUGGAACAUGCAACUGGGCAUGUCUAGCUGUGGGACUCUACAGAGCUUCAAGCAAGUUAUUUAACUUCUAUUUCCCAGACAACUCAAGAAACAGGCCUGCCUUACCUUAUUUUUGCUCAUCUGUGGAUUAAUAUAGAGGAGCUAGGGAGGACGAAGCCUAAAUAUAGAAGGAGCCCUUGUCCCCAUCACCAUGUGGAAGUCAUCUAUCGACCAGGAUCUCUUGCCUUAGACUAAAUAAUGAAAGUGAGAAAAUAAGUUUUUAUCAUAUGAAGACACUGACAUUUUAGUGUGUGUUUUAUACAACAGCCAGAAUUAACUCACUCAUACACAGAGUUUUCACAUGUGAAUCCUAUAUAUAAAAAGGCUCUGCAAGAUGGGAAGCUCAGAGCUUGCUUCAAGAGGAAACUUCUGUCUUCUAAGAGCAACUCGUCUAAGCAAUGCAGAAAGAAUCCCAUCUUCCUCUAAAUGAGACUCGGCCGUAGCCAAGCUGAGGCCAGUUCCAGCAUCCUUAGCAGGUUGACUUUGGACCACAUGUUUUUGCCUCCUGGUCCCAAAAUGGCUGCUGGCUCCACAGUCUUCACAUCUGAAUCCAAUGCAGAAAAAAAGAGGAUCAAGGCAAAAGCUUUGUCCUAAGGAGAUGUCAUCUUUGUACUGGUUAAGAAAUGUGCUGCUCAACUACUGUGUGCUGGAUGCUGAAGAUAUACUGAUGGACAAAGAUACACUGAUGGCAUUAAAGUUGAAACCUGAGGGGAGUUAGCCAGGAGUACUUGGCCCUGGUGCAACCCCUGCCACUGAGGCGGGGUUGCUAAUGGCUCACCACUGCCCCUCUCCAGGAAAGCAUCUGCCCAGGCAGGGAGCCACUUCACCCAGAUUUCCUGAGAAAUUCCGUGUUCCUCCCACUACCACCCUGAAGGGCAGAAUUUAGUCAAUGACUGAUGUGAGGGUUCAAAAGCCCAGCCUCCCUGCCUGAAGGUGGGAAAACUGGUGCCAUCCACUCUCCAGAGCUCCCCAUGGGGUCAGGCUGAGGCUGGACUCUUCCUGAAUGCACAGCAAUGCUCAGCCUCUUCUCUCACUCUCUACCAGCUUGCUCCUGGGAACCAUUCCUCAGAAAGCCACUUGUACAAGUAUCUCCAUGUCCAUCUAUUUUGGGGAACUUAAGACGCCGGGUGACCAAAUGCUCCAGCACAAAGAACCGCAUACACAAAGCCCCCGAGAGAGAAUACAGGAAGUUCAGGAGAGCUGCAAGCAAUUCAGGGUGGCUGGAUUGAGCAAUGAAGGUGCUUCUAGGGUGCUGAGACUAGAAGCUGCCAACCCAUGCUGCAAGGCCCAGAGUUUCCACCCGUGCUGCUCUCCUGACCCAAGCCUGGUGAGCUAUCAGUUGGAACCUGCCUCAUCCCUCUGUACUGCCUUGGUUUCCACAGAUACAAGCAAGCCCAGCCACAAGAGAGGGAGAUUUUGAAAAAGAGGGGGCCUCCAAAGGAAGUCAGAGGUGUGCCUUGCUGACAAGAUUGCACCAAGCAUUUUGCAGGCCCUGUGGAUCAAUAGCAAUGCAUGACUGAGAGGCUCAGCCCUGACUGGUUACUUACUUGUGUGCCCAAGGGAAGCAGCCAUUGUCAACCUGAGUCCUAAGGCUUGCUCCCUGGCUCUGAGACAUAUUCCUCGGCUUCUAGCCCUCUCCUCACUCAGGAAGAACAGCAUCCAUCUAGUGGAGGGCAGGAACACAUACAACACGGGCAGAUGGAGCAAUAGUUAAGAGCCUAUGCUGUGGAAUCAGAUUGUAUCAGUCAGCUAUUGCCAUAAUAAUGCUGUGUAACAAAUGACCACAAAAUCUCAUAACAGACAGCAAUUUGGGCUGAGCUUGGGUGAAACUUCUUCUGGACUAAGCCAGAUUUGACGCAUCUUGACUGGGUAUGUUCACGAGUCUGCAGUCGACAAGUGGAUCACUUGGGCCUGGAAGGAUAAUGUUGGCCUCACCUUGGACUGCUUUGGCUUCUCUCCAUGAGUUUGUUCAUCCUCUAGCAGUCUAGCCGAGGUUAUAUGGUUUCAAGAGCUGCAAGAAGGCAAGUGCUUUUUAAGUCUCUGCUUGUGUUACCACAAGUGCUUUUUAAGUCUCUGCUUGUGUUACCACAAGUGCUUUUUAAGUCUCUGCUUGUGUUCUAUUGGCCAAAGCAAGUCACAUAGAGGGCACGGCCCCACUACCAAAGGAUGAAGAUACAGGAGGCAUGAACAAAUUGGGCCAUUUCUGUAAUUAACCCACUGAAGCAGGUUGGGUGAAAAGCAGAUGGAUAUAAGCUGGAUGCAGUGGUUUACACCUGUAAUCCCAACACUUUGUGAGGCUGAGGUGGGAGGAUUGCUUGAGUCUGGGUGGUAGAUGAUGCAGUAGCUGUGAUUGCACCACUGCACUCCAGCCUAAGCAACAGAGCAAGACCCUCUCUUGAAAGAAGAAAAAAAAAAGCAGGUGGAUAUAGAGAUAGAGGUGUCUGACACAGCUCAGAGACAAUAAAUCAUAGGUCUAAAAUCUAAAUGCCUAGACAGCAUGGCACAUGAAUGAAUGCAACAUCCCUCAUUGUAGGCACCCUGGGACCCUGGUGACCCACACCCUAAGGGAAUCUCCACUAUUCACUCCCAUCCAAUCACUGCCUUGCAGAAACACCAGCCUGGGGUGGUCAAAGAGUCCCUUUUCUCUAUUGAAACCAGACAUCUGUAUUUUAGUAUAGAGUUUCUCACUGUUUAAAGGUUGGAGACAAAUUAAAAUUUUUAAAUCCUAGAUAGUCAGUUGAGAAAUAGGGAGACAAUUUAAACAGGCUUUUCACAAAAGAGAAAAAUUCAAAUGGCUAAUAAAUAUAUAAAGUAAUGCCUGACCUCAUUAGUCAUCAGAGAGAUGCAAAUUAAACCAGCGAUGAGGUACAGUUCACAUGACAAUCUCAGACACCACUGGUGGCACUGCAAGUUGAGGCAAGACGUUAUCUAGAAGAGUUAAAGAUAUGCAAAGACCAUACCCAGAAAUUCCACUUCUUGGCACAUAUUAAGACAUGUGAGUCUAUAUUCUACAGAGUCAAGAACGAGCAUAGCAGCAUUGUACCAAACAGGCUGACAUUGGAAACAACAUCAAUAAUAGAACCAAUAAAUAUGUUGUUGUGUACCCAUACAAUGGAGUGCUAUACAGCAAUGAAAAUGACCAAAAUAUUGAUAUAGGCAACAACAUGAAUGACUCACACAAACCUGAUGCUGAGUAAAAGAAGCAAGACAUAAAUGAAUGCAUAUUGUAUGAUUCCAUUUAUAUGAAGUUCAAAAAAGAAUAAAACUAACCUACAUA